GGGUGAACUACAACUCCCAUAUGCAAGUCCCAUCAUCCAUGGUCCGAACUCUUCCAAACCACACCGGGAUGUAGAGUGGGUCAUGGGGACUCUGUGUGCCAAGUUUUGUACUGAUUCGUCAUUGGUGGGAGUCGCAGUGCUCUCAGGAAGUGAGUGAAGGUACUGCAAGUCCCAUCAUCCAUGGUCCAAACUCUUCCAAACCACACCGGGAUGUAGAGUGGGCCAUGGGGACUCUGUGUGCCAUGUUUUGUACUGAUUCGCCAUUGGUGGGAGUCACAGUGCUCUCAGGAAGUGAGUGAAGGUACUGCAAGUCCCAUCAUCCAUGGUAGUGCAAAUCCCAUCGCCAGGAUGUGUCAUGAGGGCUCUGUGUCCUAAACGUGGUCCAGUUCCAUCAUCCAUGAGGGACAUAGUGUCCUGUGGGAGCCAAACUGCACCAAACUUGGCACACGUAUCCCAAAUGACACACUUUACACGCUACAACACUUUGCGGGAGGAUGGACCAAGGAUUAUGGGAUUUGCAGUACCGUCACCCAAUUCACCCUAAAUGGAAACUUGAACUUGGAUCUUUCUGUGUUCUACUUCUAGAAAUAGAAUCCUCUUUUGUGUUUUUUAGCCUGAGGGAGAACUCCAUCAGCCCCGAAGGAGCCCGGGAGAUUGGCAAUGCCCUUCAAGCCAACCGUUGCCUGGGAAAUCUGGACUUGGCUGCCAACCUGCUGCACGAUGAAGGCGUCCAGGCCAUUGCCUUGGCGCUGAAAGCGAACCAGACACUUGCUUCCCUCCAGUAAGUUUCGGUGAAUUAUAUUUGCGUUGUUAAUUUAUGCAUUCGUUAAAGAAGGAGGUGUGGGACCGGCAGUGUGGAAGGUGACACUUCCUUUAGGGAUUCCCACUCAAGAAAAGGACCGUUUCGCCGUCGGUGGUGCUAACUUUGCUACGUAGAAAUGAGAGCGCUAGAAAACUUCUGGAAAUGAGUGACCCAUGCCUUGUUCCUGUUUUCAUGAUCUAAGAAAUAGUUUUCUGAACAACUUCCAGGGUCUCCUCGCAAUCUAUAUAUAUAAAAGAGUGAUGGCAUCACGGCAGCGGACAAAACAACAAAACUAAACACCCCACAACCUCGAGAAUUGACAGCACAACCCCUCAUCCAUGCCUCUAGGUUGAUACAACAAAAAGAAAAGAAAAAUAUAAUAAUAAUAAUAAUAAUAAUAAUAAUACACUAUUAUAAUGGCGUAUUUAUACUAUAUGUAAUAUUACUAAUAAUAUUACAAUAAAGUGUUAUAGUACAAUAUCUAUAUAUAUAGAAGGGUAAUGAAAUUUCGGCCUAGGACUAAACAACAAAACCACACAUCCCAGAAACACUAAACUUGGCAGCACAACCCCUCAUCCACGCCUCUACAUUCAUACAACAAAAAGAAAAGAAAAAUAAAGUCCUAAUUAGAGGGAGA
rnacentral:lncRNA from 11 species